UACGAAGGGGGCUAGCGUUGUUCGGAAUCACUGGGCGUAAAGGGCGCGUAGGCGGCCGAUCAAGUCGGGGGUGAAAGCCUGUGGCUCAACCACAGAAUUGCCUUCGAUACUGUUUGGCUUGAGACCGGAAGAGGUUAGUGGAACUGCGAGUGUAGAGGUGAAAUUCGUAGAUAUUCGCAAGAACCCCAGUGGCGAAGGCGGCUGACUGGUCCGGUUCUGACGCUGAGGCGCGAAAGCGUGGGGAGCAAACAGG
rnacentral:rRNA from 1 species